GAGCGAACGGUUCCGGUACUAUGCAGCGGCCAGCAGGUUUACUGGCUCGUGGGCGUCGCUCCAUUCUCCCGUCUCCGGGAUUCAAGGUUAUUGAAACUGCGUUUGCACUGGACGAAUCAUUCAUGAAACAAUUCUACAAUCGCCACCAGGGGAACACGACGGCUGCCGAAGCAGAAGUUGAACUCUUCGUGGCACUGUUGGUUAACGAGAUAGGCACUGAAUGAACGUUUUCUUCGCAUCCUACAAAGAGGCGUAUGACGUUGACAUUUACGUUUAUCCUGCCGCCAUCGGCCAAGAUGGGAGAGUCCACUAGGCAUAAAUGAGUUAAAACACGCCGGGUAUGCGAAUACUUCGUUGACGGAUGGCACUUCACUAACAGAGAACAACAAACGCCACGCGCGAGAGGAUCUGAACCCAUGGAUAAGAAGACUCUUUCGAAGUAUAGGUGCUUCUAUUGUACAUCACCUACAUACAAAACAGAUGAAUAUUCGGAAAUUGUGGAGCAUUGUGUUAAAGGCCACAAGUGCCAGACUUUAAAAUACUAAACUAAUGUCCAACAACGAACCGUCGGCGGCAUUCAUAAGCUCCGAUUCACUC